rnacentral:other from 1 species
GGCGUUCUGCGCUUCUCGGCAGGAGUAACAUUCCCCGGGGCCUUAUUGAUCCCAAGGGAGCUGUCCCUGGCCGGACCCGUGGGUUCGGACACACGGCGCCCACCUACUUUGUAGGCACCCGGGAUCGACCUCUCCACCGGUUGUCGCGGUUCGCCA